rnacentral:rRNA from 1 species
GACGAACGCUGGCGGCGUGCUUAACACAUGCAAGUCGAACGGUAAGGCCCUUCGGGGUACACGAGUGGCGAACGGGUGAGUAACACGUGGGUGAUCUGCCCUGCACUUCGGGAUAAGCCUGGGAAACUGGGUCUAAUACCGGAUAGGACCACUGCCUGCAGGGGUGGUGUUGGAAAGCUUUUGCGGUGUGGGAUGGGCCCGCGGCCUAUCAGCUUGUUGGUGGGGUGAUGGCCUACCAAGGCGACGACGGGUAGCCGGCCUGAGAGGGUGACCGGCCACACUGGGACUGAGAUACGGCCCAGACUCCUACGGGAGGCAGCAGUGGGGAAUAUUGCACAAUGGGCGCAAGCCUGAUGCAGCGACGCCGCGUGAGGGAUGACGGCCUUCGGGUUGUAAACCUCUUUCAGCACCGACGAAGCGCAAGUGAUGGUAGGUGCAGAAGAAGGACCGGCCAACUACGUGCCAGCAGCCGCAGUAA